AGGACAAACGCUGGCGGGGUGCAUGAGACAUGCAAGUCGAACGAGGUGCCAUCGGGCUUGCUCGAUGGUUACCUAGUGGCGGACGGCUGAGUAACGCGUAGGUGACCUACCCGGAAGUGGGGAAUAACUGCCCGAAAGGGUGGCUAAUACCGCAUGUGGUGGUGUGUUCAAUCACACCAGUAAAGCCGCAAGGCGCUUCGGGAGGGGCCUGCGUCCGAUUAGCUCGUUGGUGGGGUAACGGCUCACCAAGGCGACGAUCGGUAGGUGGUCUGAGAGGACGAUCACCCAGACUGGGACUGAGACACGGCCCAGACUCCUACGGGAGGCAGCAGUCGGGAAUUUUGCGCAAUGGACGAAAGUCUGACGCAGCAACGCCGCGUGAGGGAUGACGGCCUUCGGGUUGUAAACCUCUUUCUCAGGGAAGAUAAUGACGGUACCUGAGGAGAAGCCACGGCUAACUACGUGCCAGCAGCCGC
rnacentral:rRNA from 1 species